UACGUAGGAGGCGAGCGUUGUCCGGAGUUACUGGGCGUAAAGCGUGCGCAGGCGGCGCGUUAAGACAGGUGUGAAAGCCCCGAGCUUAACUUGGGAAUUGCGCUUGUGACUGGCGUGCUGGAGUGUGGCAGAGGGAGGUGGAAUUCCACGUGUAGCAGUGAAAUGCGUAGAGAUGUGGAGGAACACCGAUGGCGAAGGCAGCCUCCUGGGCCAGCACUGACGCUCAUGCACGAAAGCGUGGGGAGCAAACAGG
rnacentral:rRNA from 1 species